GACGAACGCUGGCGGCGUGCUUAACACAUGCAAGUCGAGCGGAGCGGCGAACGGGUGAGUAACGCGUGAGUAACUGCCCCCCUCUCUGGGAUAACAGUUGGAAACGGCUGCUAAUACCGGAUAGUGGGGGAUGAAUCUCGUCCUAUCAGCUUGUUGGUGGGGUAGUGGCCUACCACGGCGACGACGGGUAGCCGGCCUGAGAGGGCGACCGGCCUCAUUGGGCUGAGAUACGGACCAAUGGCGUACGGGGGGCAGCAGUGGGGAAUAUUACACAAUGGGGGAAACUCUAAUGAAGCAACGCCGGGGGUGGGAUGUCGGCAUUCGGGUUGUAAACCGCUUUCAGCCAUGACGCGGUAGUGGCAGAAGAAGCACCGGCUAACUACGUGCCAGCAGCCGCGGUAAUAC
rnacentral:rRNA from 1 species